rnacentral:piRNA from 1 species
UAGAAGGUGUUCCAAUGUAUCUUCUUUUGCCU